rnacentral:rRNA from 1 species
GACGAACGCUGGCGGCGUGCUUAACACAUGCAAGUCGAACGGAAAGGCCCUGCUUUUGUGGGGUGCUCGAGUGGAGAACGGGUGAGGAACACGUGAGUAACCUGCCCUUGACUUUGGGAUAACUUAAGGAAAUUGGGGCUAAUACCGGAUAGGAGCUCCUGCUGCAUGGUGGGGGUUGGAAAGUUUCGGCGGUUGGGGGUGGACUCGCGGCUUAUCAGCUUGUUGGUGGGGUAGUGGCUUACCAAGGCUUUGAAGGGUAGCCGGCCUGCGAGGGUGACCGGACACAUUAGGACUGAGAUACGACCCAGACUCCUACGGUAGGCAGCGGUGGGGAAUAUUGCACAAGGGGCGGAAGCCUGAUGCAGCAACGCCGCGUGCGGGAUGACGUCCUUCGGGUUGUAAUCCGCUUUCGCCUGUGACGAGGCGUGAGUGACGGUAAUGGGUAAAGAAGCACCGGCUAACUACGUG